AUUGAACGCUGGCGGCAGGCCUAACACAUGCAAGUCGAACGAGUGGCGGACGGGUGAGUAAUGUCUGGGAAACUGCCUGAUGGAGGGGGAUAACUACUGGAAACGGUAGCUAAUAACGCAUACCAUCAGAUUUGCCCAGAUAGGAUUAGCUAGUUGGUGGGGUAACGGCUAACCAAGGCGACGAUCCCUAGCUGGUCUGAGCGGAUGAACAGCCACACUGGAACGGAGACACGGUCCAGCCUCCUACGGGAGGCAGCAGUGGGGAAGAUUGGACAAUGGGCGCAAGCCUGAUGCAGCCAUGCCGCGUGUAGGAAGAAGGCCUUCGGGUUGUAAAGUACUUUCAGCGGGGAGGCGUUACCCUCAGAAUAAGCACCGGCUAACUCCGUGCCAGCAGCCGCGGUAAUUC
rnacentral:rRNA from 1 species